GUAAUACGUAUGUCACCUGCGUUAUCCGGAUUUAUUGGGCGUAAAGCGCGUCUAGGUGGUUAUGUAAGUCUGAUGUGAAAAUGCAAGGCUCAACUCUGUAUUGCGUUGGAAACUGCAUGACUAGAGUACUGGAGAGGUAAACGGAACUACAAGUGUAGAGGUGAAAUUCGUAGAUAUUUGUAGGAAUGCCGGUGGGGAAGCCAGCUUACUGGACAGAUACUGACGCUAAAGCGCGAAAGCGUGGGUAGCAAACAGGAUUACAUACCCUGAUAGUCCACACCGUAAACGAUGAUUACUAAGUGUUGGGGGUCGAACCUCAGCGCCCAAGCUAACGCGAUAAGUAAUCCGCCUGGGGAGUACGUACGCAAGUAUGAAACUCAAAGGAAUUGACGGGGACCCGCACAAGCGGUGGAGCAUGUGGUUUAAUUCGACGCAACGCGAGGAACCUUACCAGCGUUUGACAUCUUAGGAAUGAGACAGAGAUGUUUCAGUGUCCCUUCGGGGAAACCUAAAGACAGGUGGUGCAUGGCUGUCGU
rnacentral:rRNA from 1 species